rnacentral:rRNA from 1 species
CUYUUAUGAGGCCCCGUAAUCGGGAAUGAGUACACUUUAAAUCCUUUAACAAGGAUCCAUUGAAGGGCAAGUCUGGUGCCAGCAGCCGCGGUAAUUCCAGCUUCAAUAGCGUAUAUUAAAGUUGUUGCGGUUAAAAAGCUCGUAGUUGGUUCUGCGUGCCACGCUGUCGGUUCGCCGCCUGCCGGUGUAACUGGCAUGCCGUGGCAUGUCCUGUCGGUGGCGUUCGGGAGCCUCGUCUAGGCGACGGCCCUUGCCAAAAGCUUGGUGUCCGGUGGCCGGGGGUAUACCCGUUCGCCUACUCUAUCCUACCUAGGUGCUCUUCACCGAGUGUCGAGGUAGGCCGACACGUUUACUUUGAACAAAUUAGAGUGCUCAAAGCAGGCUGAAAUCUCUGCCUGAAUAGUGGUGCAUGGAAUAAUAAAACAGGACCUUGGUUCUAUUUUGUUGGUUCUUAGGAACACAAGGUAAUGAUCAAUACGGACAGGCGGGGGCAUUCGUAUUGCGACGUUAGAGGUGAAAUUCUUGGAUCGUCGCAAGACGCACAAGAGCGAAAGCAUUUGCCAAGUAUGUCUUGAUUGAUCAAGAACGAAAGUUAGAGGUUCGAAGGCGAUCAGAUACCGCCCUAGUUCUAACCAUAAACGAUGCCAGCCAGCGAUCCGCCGAUGUUCCUCCGAUGACUCGGCGGGGAGCUUCUUCCCGGGAAACCAAAGCUUUUGGGUUCCGGGGGAAGUAUGGUUGCAAAGCUGAAACUUAAAGGAAUUGACGGAAGGGCACCACCAGGAGUGGAGCCUGCGGCUUAAUUUGACUCAACACGGGAAACCUCACCAGGCCAGGACAUUGGAAGGAUUGACAGAUUGAUAGCUCUUUCUUGAU